UAAACAGCUGAUUGAGCGGCAGUGCGCCGCUGUUACAUGCAUAUAGCGGAAACCCUGUAUGUGCACGUGUGGUGCUGAUGUUGCGCGAUGUAAAUCAUGCGCCUCCCGAGUGAAUAUGACCGCCAUAUGUCAGACUGACCGGCAGGUCGCUGGUUAUGGCCGAUGACGUGAAAAUCAGCCAAUUCCGGUCACCAGCCGGUCAAUCUGUGCAUCUCUACUAGGUUUGUAUUGCAUGUAUUUGUGGGAGGCUAA